UACGUAGGUGGCAAGCGUUGUCCGGAUUUACUGGGCGUAAAGAGCGCGCAGGCGGUCGUUCAAGUCGAGUGUGAAAGCCCCCGGCUCAACUGGGGAGGGUCACGCGAUACUGAUCGACUCGAAGGCAGGAGAGGGUAGUGGAAUUCCCGGUGUAGUGGUGAAAUGCGUAGAUAUCGGGAGGAACACCAGUGGCGAAGGCGGCUAACUGGUCCAGAUCUGACGCUGAGGUGCGAAAGCGUGGGGAGCGAACAGG
rnacentral:rRNA from 1 species